UACGGAGGAUGCGAGCGUUAUCCGGAUUUAUUGGGUUUAAAGGGUGCGUAGGCGGAGUGCCAAGUCAGCGGUAAAAAUUCGGGGCUCAACCCCGUCGUGCCGUUGAAACUGGCGCCCUUGAGUGGGCGAGAAGUAUGCGGAAUGCGUGGUGUAGCGGUGAGAUGCAUAGAUAUCACGCAGAACCCCGAUUGCGAAGGCAGCAUACCGGCGCCCGACUGACGCUGAAGCACGAAAGCGUGGGUAUCGAACAGG
rnacentral:rRNA from 1 species